CAGUCGCCACGGUAAUACGGAGGGGGCUAGCGUUGUUCGGAAUUACUGGGCGCAAAGCGCACGUAGGCGGCUUGGUAAGUUAGAGGUGAAAGCCCAGGGCUCAACCCUGGAAUUGCCUUUAAGACUGCCGAGCUAGUGGGUGAGAGAGGUGAGUGGAAUUCCGAGUGUAGAGGUGAAAUUCGUAGAUAUUCGGAAGAACACCAGUGGCGAAGGCGGCUCACUGGCUCAUUCUAGACGCUGAGGUGCGAAAGCGUGGGGAGCAAACAGGAUUAGAUACCCCAGUAGUCCCUGUCUCUUAUAC
rnacentral:rRNA from 1 species